rnacentral:rRNA from 1 species
UACGUAGGGACCAAGCGUUGUUCGGAUUUACUGGGCGUAAAGGGCGCGUAGGCGGUAUGACAAGUCACUUGUGAAAUCUCCGGGCUUAACCCGGAAAGGUCAACCGAUACUGCAGGGCUAGAGUGCAGAAGGGGCAACUGGAAUUCUCGGUGUAGCGGUGAAAUGCGUAGAUAUCGAGAGGAACACCUGCGGCGAAGGCGGGUUGCUGGGCAGUUGCUGACACUGAUGCGCGACAGCGUGGGGAGCAAACAGG